rnacentral:sRNA from 1 species
AUGAAUUGAGGAAGAGAUUAAGAUCUAGAAAAGCUCAGAACUUCUUAGAGGGUUGUGUAUUACCGUCAGCGAUGGAUUAACCAUCUCUGGCACACGAUUUUUUCCUCACAGCUCUUCUAUUUA